GAAAUGAUGGAAAAGGUCACAUUAGAGUGUGAAAUGAUAAAAAUGUCACCUAGUUUCCCACUUGAUAAAAAGGUCCAUUAUAAAUUGUUAGUAAUAUUAAUUUAGUCCUUAUUAAUAAUAAAGUGAUGUUAAAAAAGGUCAGUUUUUAAUUUUUUUGAUUCCGAUUAUGCCCUUCAAGCCAAUUCUCUCUCUAUAUUCUUCUCCUCCUCCUCACAGACACAAACCUCCUCUCUGGAGUGUCAAUGGCGAAGAACGACGCGUCCUUGGGAUCAGUGUGCCAGCAAUUCGGCAAGCCUUCGACGAUCGACGUCUCCAGAGAUAAGAGCCAAACGCGCACAUGAGGCCUUAUGAUGAUCUCCUUACCAACAGGUACUAGACCUCUUCAUGUCCGCAGCCGAGACCACCGACUCUGAUCGGCAAAACGAUGCUGUCUUAGACGAUGCGACGCAGCUGCGCUCCGUAGCUUCUGUUUCUCGGUCUCCGGCGCUGCCAUGGGAGAGCGACUGUGAGGAUCAGGUCAAGGAGGGGAUCGUUAGGUUUUCGACCGAUGGCGGGAGUGGCAAGAAGAAGAAAAAGACAAGGUUUUGGUUGAAGAAGAAUGGAGUAGUUAAUAAUGUUACUAAGAACUUGGGUGAUGAUUCCAUCUUAAAGGCCUUGAGGAGUUCGUCUCCUUUGGAUAAAUCGACUCCUUUUGGGCUAAAUUAACACCUAUUAUGAGGCCACCUAACAUCCCCAUUCGGCAUGUGAUUCUGAUAGCAUAAUCCAGUUUCUGGUUUGUAAAUAUACAAUCUUCAGACAAGUGGUAGUGAUGGUACCAUGGAAUGUACUAUAUUUAUCAUAAUGUACAGAAUGUACUAAAAUCUGAAAAGUAUGUUGGAAACUAGUCCAGGAGUACCAUGGAAGAGCUGAAGAAAUAAAUGAGGAUUGUCUCAUCUUGAUUGGAUUGGAGGGGAAUUUUGUAUUUGCAGUAAAAUGCUUUAGGCUGUUGAAGAAUGUUGAUGCUGUAUUACUGAUACUUUUGUAUCUCAAUUGCAUUUUUAUAGAUGGAAUAAAUUGAGAAAACAUCAUAA